CGGACGGGUGAGUAACGCGUGGGUAACCGUGCCUCAUACAGGGGGAUAGCAGCUGGAAACGGCUGGUAAUACCGCAUAAGCGCACAGUACCACAUGGUACAGUGUGAAAAACUCCGGUGGUAUGAGAUGGACCCGCGUCUGAUUAGCUUGUUGGCGGGGUAACGGCCCACCAAGGCGACGAUCAGUAGCCGACCUGAGAGGGUGACCGGCCACAUUGGGACUGAGACACGGCCCAG
rnacentral:rRNA from 1 species